rnacentral:rRNA from 1 species
AGCAGUCGCCACGGUAAUACGUAGGGUGCAAGCGUUAAUCGGAAUUACUGGGCGUAAAGCGUGCGCAGGCGGUUCGUUAAGACAGAUGUGAAAUCCCCGGGCUUAACCUGGGAACUGCAUUUGUGACUGGCGGGCUAGAGUAUGGCAGAGGGGGGUAGAAUUCCACGUGUAGCAGUGAAAUGCGUAGAGAUGUGGAGGAAUACCGAUGGCGAAGGCAGCCCCCUGGGCCAAUACUGACGCUCAUGCACGAAAGCGUGGGGAGCAAACAGGAUUAGAUACCCCUGUAGUCCCUGUCUCUUAUAC